GUGUAAAUUGAGUGGCUCCUCAGGGCAAUUCUCCUCCAUGCAGUGAUUCAGGGAUCCAGACUCCACCCAUCUGGAGAUGCCAACAUCUGAACAUCUGGUUUCCAGAGUCAUUGUAGCAGAGGAAGAGAGGAGUGAUGGUUUGCCAAGAAUUUUAUUAAAUGUCAUGCCUGGGAGUGGUUGGACAUCAUUCCCACCUAUAUUCUAUUGGAAGCACCCAAUCAUAUAGCCCCAACAUAAUUACAAGCAAGAGUGAAAAAUGUAGGGGAGUCAAUGGAACAACUGGUGAAUACCAGUGUCUUUGCUACACCUGCACUAAUGACAAAUAAUUUACAGUUUAGGAAAAUGCAUGACAAAGAACAAAGAGCUUAAAAUCAAACAAGCCUGGGCUCAAAUCCAAACUUUGUUACUUGCCACCUAUAUGACUUUGAGCAGUUUGGAACCCAUUUCCUUAUAUUUCAAAUGGGGGUAUUAUGGAACCUACCUUACAGUUUUGCUGUAAGGAUUAUAUGAGAUAAUAAGUAUAAAUCUGACACAUAAUUGCUUAAUAAAUGGUAGCUGUUUAUUAUUUUUCUCUUCUCUUAACUUUGAAACUGCUGAUUCACUUCUGUGAAUAUUCUGUGGCAACUUGCGAGAAAAAAUUUAAGUGUCUGUCACACUCACCAGCUCCCACCUGAGAAACACUUUAUUGCUACUAAAACCUGAUUAAACUGAGCUUCAAAAAAGAAGCAGUCAUCUGAGAGGUUAUUCACCGUCAAAUAAGCCUCUUGUACUCUGCUCUGGGCAUCAAGGACCAGGGUUCCCGCUGUACCAUAGAGGACCUGUGUGCAAAUUAGAAAAAAAAGCCCUUCCUCUUGAUGGAAUACUGUAAACUUUCAAAAAUAUAAACCGACAUAAAUGCAUGGAAGUCAUUGUUCUUUUAUGUAUGGAUUAAUGUACUUGCAUAGUAAUUCACAAUGAUAUUUUAUGUGAAAUAUCUUUAUUUGUUCUAAGCAGUUUCUUCAAAUAAGGAUAAAAUAGGCUCUAGAGUGUAGUAUUAAGAAUUACAAUGGGCCAGGCAUGGUGGCUCACACCUGUAAUCCCAGCACUUUGGGAGGCCAAGGCAGGUGGAUCACCUGAGGUCGGGAGUUCAAGACCAGCCUCACCAACAUGGAGAAACUUAAUCUCUACUAAAAAAACAAAAUUAACUGGGUGUGGUGGCAAAUGCCUGUAAUCCCAGCUACCCGGGAGGCUGAGACAGGAGAAUCCCUUGAACCCAGGAGGCGGAGGUUGCAGUGAGCUGAGACCGCACCAUUGCAAUCCAGCCUGGGCAUCACAGUGAGACUCUGUCACAAAUAAAAAAAAGAAGAAAAUGAAUUACAAUGAACUGCAAGUAAAAGAAUUAAAAAAAAAAAAAAAAAAAACAGUGGCAUAAUUAGUUGAGAAGUCUUAUUUUUUUCACAUGUAGCUAGAAGUGAAAAAGGAGGCAGCCCAUGGCUGGUACUGUAGUCAUACCAUCAGAGACCCAAGCUCUUUCUGCUUUCCUCUCAAUCAUUCUCAGCUUGUGCUGGCUCCUUGGGGCCAUAAUAUUUUCCAGCAUCAGAUUUUUAUUCCAGAAAGGAAGAAGGAGAAGGGCAAAAGGACUCCCCAUCCUCCUUCAAGGAACUACUCAAUAUUUCACUUGCUUCUCAUUGGCCAAAGGAAUGUCACAUGACAACUCCUUUCUACAAAGGAAGCCAGAGAAUGUAGGUUUUUAGCUGGGCAUGUGGUUCUGGCAGUAAGAAAAAGCAGGAGAGUGGAUAUUGGGUAGACACCUAACAAUGUUCAGAUGUAUUUGUGACAAGUUGAUUGAAACAAGGGGAAAAGGAGUGAUUAAAAAAAAAAAAAAAGCAUAUGAGGCAAUUCCCUAAAUCAGUCAUCUACUUCCACAAUAAUGCUCCCUCGCAGUAAAAAAACCUCAGGGACAUGCAACAGUAAACAUCUAGGGUCAGCUGGAGGUCAGCUAAGUGGCUCUGCUAAUUUUGGCUGGGCUUACUCAUAUGUGUGAGAGUCGGCUGGCAGUUGGCUGAUCUAGACUGGCUUUGACUGGAGCAACAGAGAUGGCUCAGCUCUGCUGCUCAGUUUCUCUUCCUCCAGCCGGCUAGCUUGAGCGUGUUGUCAUGGCAAUGGCAGAUACACAAGACAGCAAAAGGAAACACACACAGUCUCUGAAGUUCUAUAUGUGGAACUGAUACUUACACUUUACCUUGUUGGCCAAAACAGGUCCAUGAUUAGGCUCAGAAACAGCAUUGGACAGCAAUACAGAUGUGUAUGGUGAAGGACAUAGAUACAGGAGGGAUGAAUAAUUAGGGUCAUUUCUACACUCUGCCAUAUCCCCUCUCUAUAGAUUCUUAGACCUAGUAGCUAAAAGAGGCAUUAAGUGGUUAAAAAGGAUUCUCUAGAAAGCAGAGUUUAUCACAUUCACAUUCACUCAAAGAUCUGCUGUUUAAAGAGUCAUGUCCCAGCAGUAUGAUUGCAUGUUUUAAAAUUAUAAAAAUAAUAUCCUAGAUAUUUAGAACACCAACACCACGUUUUUGGGAAUAACACCCUAAAGGAAGAAUUUUCUUUAGAUUAUUAAAACUUUACAAUAUUGUUUCCAAUUUUUUAUUUUGAUAAAAUACACAUAACUUAAAAUUUAACCUCUUAAAGAUUUUUCAGGGUGUAUAGUUCCAGUGGUUUUAAUACCUUCAUUCAUAAUGUUGUAUAAAUAUCACCACCACCCAUCUUCAGAACUUUUUCCAUCUUGUAAAAUUGGAAUUAUUUACCCAUUAAACAAUAACUCUCAAUUGCCCCCAUCCCCUGGCAACCACCAUCUCUAUUAUUUUGAAACAGGGUGGACAGGAUACCGUGCCUGCUCUGGAAGGAAUGGCUGGGUCGGAGAAUUAACACCCUCCAGUGACCACGUGGGCAGCAGAAACUGUACCUUGUGCAUUUUGAAAGAAGAAGCUGGAGCUGAGAGCCUUGAAAGAUGUUCCUGGUGUCUCUCAGCAGGGGCUUUGCACGUGUACUUUAUGGAAAUGGUUUGAGCCCACGGGGCAUCCUGCCAGCCACAUCCAUGAAUGCAAAGGUUAGAGUCACCAUGCUUGAGCAAAGGAGUAGUGGAGACCUUGCUUUGUAGGAGCUGAGAGAAGAAGGCUUCAGACGAUCAAAUUACUCUGAGCUACGGGAGGACAUUCAAACCAAAGGCAAAGAAGUUGAAAACUUUGAAAAAAAUUUAGAAGAAUGUAUAACUAGAAUAACCAAUACAGAGAAGUGCUUAAAGGAGCUGAUGGAGCUGAAAACCAAGGCUCGAGAACUACGUGAAGAAUGCAGAAGCCUCGGGAGCCGAUGCGAUCAACUGGAAGAAAGGGUAUCAGCAAUGGAAGAUGAAAUGAAUGAAAUGAAGUGAGAAGGGAAGUUUAGAGAAAAAAGAAUAAAAAGAAAUGAGCAAAGCCUCCAAGAAAUAUGGGACUAUGUGAAAAGACCAAAUCUACGUCAAUGGGGAAAGGAUUCCCUAUUUAAUAAAUGGUGCUGGGAAAACUGGCUAGCCAUAUGUAGGAAGCUGAAACUGGAUCCCUUCCUUACACCUUAUACAAAAAUCAAUUCAAGAUGGAUUAAAGAUUUAAACGUUAGACCUAAAACCAUAAAAACCCUAGAAGAAAACCUAGGCAUUACCAUUCAGGACAUAGGCAUGUGAUCCACCCGCUUCAGCCUCCCAAAGUGCUGGGAUUACAGGCGUGAGCCACCGUGCAUGAAUAUUUUCGUUUGUUUCUGAAGAAAGAGCAGCAUAGCAUGUUUGCUUCUAGCAAAGAAGCACACUUUAUUAAAAUUCUAAUAGGAAGAGGAGAAGAGCCCUGCCUCACUACGGGAAGCCAGAUUCUGGAGAGUGUGGAUCAUCCCAAAUUUUUGAAAUUCUACAUAGGUUAGUGGAUCUCAACCAGGGGACAGUGGCGAUGUCUGGAAACAUUUUUUGGUUGUUUCAACUGGGGAAGCUGGUCAUUCUGGCAGUGAGUAGAGGCUGGGGAUGCUGUUUCCUCCAUAUUUAUUGCCCAGUCGCUCUGGAACUUGGUUUCCACUCAGUCCAAAUGAGAAGAGUGGGUCUAUCAAAUUUAUGAAGAUCUGGGAGUUACGGAAAGAAUCAGAAGAACCAUUAAAAGCUUAUUCUUGUCAGGUGCAGUGACUCAUGCCUGUAGUCCCAGCUACUCAGGAGCCUGUGUUGGGAGGAUCACUUGAGCCUGGGAGGUAGAGGCUGCAGUGACCCGAGAUCGCGCCUCUGCACUCCAGCCUGGGUGACAGAGUAAGACUGUCUCUUAACAAAAAAGAAAGUAUAUUAAAUUUAAAAAGAAGCUUAUACUUCACAAGUAUGACAAAAGUUCAACAACUCAAGGACUAUAGGAGGGCUGGGACAAGCAACUAAGCACAGAGAGAAAGGGGCCGUGCAAAGGAAGAAAUGUGGUAGGGAGAGCCCAACGCCCAGAAAGUGGAUAUACAUUUUUUUUAUUACACAAAAUACUUUCUUACUCAUAAGAAAGACUUAAAUACCCCCCUUUUCCACAAAUACACCAGAUUUUGUUUCAUUUCUCUAUUUUCCAAACUUCUUGAAAUGUGCUUAUGAGGAAAAAAAAAUAUUUUUCCAAAAACGAUUUUAAAAACAAACAAACUUGUGAACGUCACCAGAGAUGGAUGCCCCACCAACGCUGGAGCUGGCCUCGCUGCUGCUUUGGCGACUUGCUUUGAGCUCCUCUCCCUCCACGCCACGCGGAAGUCGCAGGAAUGGGAUGUGAAAGAGUGUUUCUCUAAGCAUCCUUCGCAGGGUGCCACCGCCGUUUCCAGGCACUUUUUCUGCUAGACGCUCAAGACAAGAGAAGGGCAUGUGAAGGGCCAGGAAGCCGGGGCAGGGGCCGCCGUGAGAGAGCGGAGGAGGAGGGUGUGAGGCGCAACCGGGUCUGUUUCACGCUGAAACGCUAGGGCCGUGCUUUCCGCUAGGCAGCUGCGCAGAGCAACCGCUCCUCCGCUGGGCGCGCUUCGCUGCUGGGGAGGGACAGGCAGGGAUGCCUGGUGCAAGCGAUCCCUCGGCCCCGGGGCGGCCCAGCCUCGCCGAGCUCCAUUAGUUGGCAUCCGAAACAUCUGGCAGGGGCUCAGGCUGGGGCCCCAGGGACGAAGCCAGUUUGGUGAGGGCCCGCGCUAUGCUGUCCAGGUGGCCGUUCAUGGUCCGCAGCUCCACCAGGAUGUCCCCGACGUGGGCCUCCAAGCUCGCCGCAGCGGCGGGCCGGGCUCGGGGCGGCGGGGAUGUACCCGCGUCCACGGUGCCCUCCUCCCUGCCCGCAGUGCUGGGGCGCGGGGCGCGGCUCCUUUCCGGGCCCUCGGCCGGUGCCAGGACGGGCGGCGGCCGCUCCUUGUCAUCCCCGCGUGUGCUGGGAGAGAUGGUCGAAGGGCAACCGGGGAGCCAGUCGACCAGACGCGGGGCGGCCUCCGGGGAGGAGGCGACGACUGAGUAGCGGCCUGUGCGCCGGGAGGCGCCGGGGCCUGGGGGCGCCGAGGCUGCGGGGAGCGGAGGCAACAGCGGAGGCAGCGCUGGCGGACCUGGGGAAAAGG
rnacentral:lncRNA from 1 species